rnacentral:rRNA from 1 species
GAUGAACGCUGGCGGCGUGCCUAAUACAUGCAAGUCGAGCGAACGGACGAGAAGCUUGCUUCUCUGAUGUUAGCGGCGGACGGGUGAGUAACACGUGGAUAACCUACCUAUAAGACUGGGAUAACUUCGGGAAACCGGAGCUAAUACCGGAUGAUAUUUUGAACCGCAUGGUUCAAAAGUGAAAGACGGUCUUGCUGUCACUUAUAGAUGGAUCCGCGCUGCAUUAGCUAGUUGGUAAGGUAACGGCUUAUCAAGGCAACGAUGCAUAGCCGACCUGAGAGGGUGAUCGGCCACACUGGAACUGAGACACGGACCAGACUCCUACGGGAGGCAGCAGUAGGGAAUCUUCCGCAAUGGGCGAAAGCCUGACGGAGCAACGCCGCGUGAGUGAUGAAGGUCUUCGGAUCGUAAAACUCUGUUAUUAGGGAAGAACAUAUGUGUAAGUAACUGUGCACAUCUUGACGGUACCUAAUCAGAAAGCCACGGCUAACUACGUG